rnacentral:rRNA from 1 species
UACGAAGGGGGCUAGCGUUGUUCGGAUUUACUGGGCGUAAAGCGCACGUAGGCGGCUUGUUAAGUCAGGGGUGAAAUCCUGGAGCUCAACUCCAGAACUGCCUUUGAUACUGGCGAGCUUGAGUUCGGGAGAGGUGAGUGGAACUGCGAGUGUAGAGGUGAAAUUCGUAGAUAUUCGCAAGAACACCAGUGGCGAAGGCGGCUCACUGGCCCGAUACUGACGCUGAGGUGCGAAAGCGUGGGGAGCAAACAGG